rnacentral:rRNA from 1 species
GGGUGGUAAUGCCGGAUGUUCCAGUUGAUCGCAUGGUCUUCUGGGAAAGCUUUCGCGGUAUGGGAUGGGGUCGCGUCCUAUCAGCUUGACGGCGGGGUAACGGCCCACCGUGGCUUCGACGGGUAGCCGGCCUGAGAGGGCGACCGGCCACAUUGGGACUGAGAUACGGCCCAGACUCCUACGGGAGGCAGCAGUGGGGAAUAUUGCACAAUGGGCGCAAGCCUGAUGCAGCGACGCCGCGUGAGGGAUGGAGGCCUUCGGGUUGUAAACCUCUUUUAUCGGGGAGCAAGCGUGAGUGAGUUUACCCGUUGAAUAAGCACCGGCUAACUACGUGCCAGCAGCCGCGGUAAUACGUAGGGUGCAAGCGUUAUCCGGAAUUAUUGGGCGUAAAGGGCUCGUAGGCGGUUCGUCGCGUCCGGUGUGAAAGUCCAUCGCUUAACGGUGGAUCCGCGCCGGGUACGGGCGGGCUUGAGUGCGGUAGGGGAGACUGGAAUUCCCGGUGUAACGGUGGAAUGUGUAGAUAUCGGGAAAGAAC